AGUGAACUUCGCUUCUUUCGAGAUGUUCUUGAGGAAACACCUAAUCUCCUUAAAAAUGUUAAAUUCAUAGCAAUGGAGGUGCACAUUGGGGGAAAAAUCACAGAAAUUGGGAGAAGCCACAGGUUAUUCUGGAAAUACUUUCAACUAUUGGACUGUUUUGGCUUCAAGGUAAUGUACAGUGCUAUCAAUCCUUUCUCUGGUGGAAGAGUGGUGAAUGGGAGACACCGCUCCUGCUGUUAUGAAAUAGUGUGGGUUCAAGACCGUAGCUGGUAAUGUCCACAAUUCCUUGCUUUCAUUCACUCUCAUUGCUGGAGAUAAUCAAAUUACAAGAAUAGAGUUUGUAAAAUUCAGUCAGAUGCUCCAAUCUUCAAUGAGUUACAAGAAACGUCCUGCAUUUUAUUAGUUUUUUUUUUUAUUUAAAUCAAGAUAAGUAUUGUUACUAUACAUUAAACACUUAAGACCGUA